AGAGCGACAAAACUUAAAUACUUAAUUAUUAUAACUUGAGUUAUACAGGGUGUCUAAAAAAAAAACGCUACGGAAGUUCAACAGGCUGUCGUGCUUCAUAAACGUGGCCAAAAAAUUCAAUUAUUAUAUCGGGACGAAAGAGCAGUUAUUUAGCUUUUCAAUGAUAAUUAAAAAAACCAAACGUAAAAACCAAAAACCAAAAGUAAAAUAAAAUAAAUAAUAAAAAUAAAUAAUAAUAAUAAAUAAUAAAAACCAAACGUACUUGC